CUCUUUUCUUUCAUUUAACCUCAAUAAAAGCAAUGUAUUAAAUUAAUUUCAUUUUUUUUAAAAAAAAAUCAAAAUUACCUCUCUUGCUAUAAUACCAUGUUGAUAGCAUAAAUUGGAUGAAUAAUUUUACGAAUUUGCUACCACAUAAAAUAAAUUAAACAUGUCAGGGCUUAACAUAUUAGGGUUGAUGAAGCUUGUGCCGACCCAUUUCGAAUAAGGUUGUAAAUAAAAGCCAAAAAUAAGAAAAAAAAAAUAAUUCAUUUUAAAUUCGUCUUUAUCUACUAAAAGCAAGAAGUGUUAAGUGGAGAAUUUCUUCAUUUUCUUGAUUUGUUCAUCCAUACAAAAUAUGUCAAAAAAGACAAAAAUAAGAUAAAUUAAUUUGUUCAGAAUCUGCUCCAACUCGCCAAAGAAAAAAUAGAGCGAGUGAGAGAAGAUGGGGCCCUUCCCACGCUCUGAAUCUGUCUCUGUGUAUUCCUGAUCAUUUUUUAUGAAAAUGACCACUUAUUGUAUUAAUUUUGUUUUAUU
rnacentral:lncRNA from 1 species